rnacentral:lncRNA from 1 species
UGUAUGGUUGGCAUCCAAGGCAUCAAACUCUUUCUGAUGGCAUCCUGCCAUACUGAAACAGAUGCAGCUUGAGAGUAAUAGAGAGGUUCAGAUUCCAGAGAAGAAGAGGAGCCAGUAAAGGCAGGAAGUUGACAGACAUAGUCCUUAUGUUAAGAUGGAGGAUUAUGCUGUCUUCCAGAUUUUCUGGGAGCAGGAGCAGAUGUGGAAGAAGGCAAAUCAGGAGGAGAGAUAUCAGGAUUGAAGGAAGGAAUGGAGGCUGGAUUAGAAGAAGAAGAAGUGGUGGCAGAAGGAGGAGGAGGAGAGGAACAAACAUGUAUCAACAAGUCAGUGUCAGAGAAGGAAGGCUCAAGAGAAGGAACUGAGGGAAAGGAAGAAGGAACAGGAGAUGAAACAUUCUUAAAUGGAAAAGAGGUUUCAUGAAAUAGAGAGGAACAAACAGGUAUCAACAAGUGAGUGUCAGAGAAGGAAGGCUCAAGAGGAGGAACUGAGGGAAAGGAAGAAGGAGAAGGAGAUGAAACAUUCUUAAAAGGAAAGUAGGUUUCAUGAAAUAUAACAUCCCUGGAAACAAAGUAUUUCUUUGAAGUAAGGUCAUAAAGUUUAUAACCCU